rnacentral:rRNA from 1 species
UACGUAGGGUGCGAGCGUUAAUCGGAAUUACUGGGCGUAAAGCGUGCGCAGGCGGUCUGUUAAGACCGAUGUGAAAUCCCCGGGCUUAACCUGGGAACUGCAUUGGUGACUAGCAGGCUUUGAGUGUGGCAGAGGGAGGUAGAAUUCCACGUGUAGCAGUGAAAUGCGUAGAGAUGUGGAGGAAUACCGAUGGCGAAGGCAGCCUCCUGGGCCAACACUGACGCUCAUGCACGAAAGCGUGGGGAGCAAACAGG